rnacentral:rRNA from 1 species
UACGGAGGGUGCGAGCGUUGUCCGGAAUCACUGGGCGUAAAGGGCGCGUAGGCGGUCUGGUAAGCGUGUGGUGAAAGCUCGGGGCUCAACCCCGAGUCGGCCGUGCGAACUGCUGGACUGGAGCAUGUCAGAGGCAGGCGGAAUUCCGGGUGUAGCGGUGGAAUGCGUAGAGAUCCGGAAGAACACCGGUGGCGAAGGCGGCCUGCUGGGCUAUGGCUGACACUGAGGCGCGACAGCGUGGGGAGCAAACAGG